rnacentral:rRNA from 1 species
CUACGGGUUGCUGCAGUGGGGAAUAUUGCACAAUGGACGAAAGUCUGAUGCAGCAACGCCGCGUGGAGGAUGACACAUUUCGGUGCGUAAACUCCUUUUAUAUAAGAAGAUAAUGACGGUAUUAUAUGAAUAAGCACCGGCUAACUCCGUGCCAGCAGCCGCGGUAAUACGGGGGGUGCAAGCGUUACUCGGAAUCACUGGGCGUAAAGCGCAUGUAGGCGGACUUGUAAGUUGGAAGUGAAAUCCUAUGGCUCAACCAUAGAACUGCUUCCAAAACUGCUUGUCUAGAAUAUGGGAGAGGUAGAUGGAAUUUCUGGUGUAGGGGUAAAAUCCGUAGAGAUCAGAAGGAAUACCGAUUGCGAAGGCGAUCUACUGGAACAUUAUUGACGCUCAGAUGCGAAAGCGUGGGGAGCAAACAGGAUUAGAUACCCGUGUAGUC